CCGGACCGGGCAGGUCUUUAGGUGCUCUUCCCCCUCCCGUGCUCUUCCUCCCCAAUCCCUUCCCUCCCUUCUUCCCCCUUUACUCCUCCGUCUCGGGGUUCUGCGGCCUCGGGAGCUGCGGAGGAGAUGGAGUAAGCGUUCGGUGUCGGCCAGGCGCGCGGUCUGAGCAGUCACAGCCCGGAGGCCUUCAGGGAGCCGGCAAGGGGGUGGAGGGGGGGGACGGGUCCCAGCACCGCCCCUCCAGGUAGCCGGCUGCGAGGUAACUUGAACCACCAAGUACUGCAGCCAUGGAGUCCAUGCUGAAUAAACUGAAGAGCACGGUUACAAAAGUAACAGCUGAUGUCACAAGUGCUGUCAUGGGGAACCCUGUCACUAGGGAAUUUGAUGUUGGUCGGCACAUUGCCAGUGGCGGCAAUGGGCUGGCAUGGAAGAUUUUUCACGGCACUAAGAAAUCAACAAAGCAGGAAGUGGCUGUUUUUGUUUUUGAUAAAAAGCUGAUUGACAAAUAUCAAAAAUUUGAAAAGGAUCAAAUCAUCGAUUCUUUAAAACGAGGAGUCCAGCAGCUCACCCGGCUACGCCACCCUCGACUACUUACUGUCCAGCAUCCCUUAGAAGAGUCAAGGGAUUGCUUGGCAUUUUGUACAGAACCAGUUUUUGCCAGUUUAGCCAAUGUUCUUGGUAACUGGGAAAAUCUACCGUCUUCAAUAUCUCCAGACAUUAAGGAUUAUACACUUUAUGAUGUAGAAACGAAGUAUGGUUUGCUUCAGGUUUCUGAAGGAUUGUCAUUUUUGCAUAGCAGUGUGAAAAUGGUUCAUGGAAAUGUAACUCCUGAAAAUAUAAUUCUGAAUAAAAGUGGAGCCUGGAAAAUAAUGGGUUUUGAUUUUUGUGUAUCAUCAAGCAAUCCUUCUGAACAAGAGCCCAAGUUUCCUUGUAAAGAGUGGGACCCAAACUUACCGUCACUGUGUCUUCCAAACCCUGAAUACCUGGCUCCUGAGUACAUCCUCUCUGUGAGCUGUGAGACGGCGAGCGAUAUGUACUCUCUAGGGGCCGUCACCUAUGCCGUCUUUAAUAAAGGGAAACCUAUAUUGGAAGUCAACAAGCAGGACAUUUACAAGAGCUUCAGUAGACAGUUGGAUCAGCUGAGCCGUUUAGGAUCUAGUUCACUUACAAGUAUACCUGAGGAAGUUCGUGAGCAUGUCAAACUCUUGCUAAAUGUGACCCCAACUGUGAGACCUGACGCGGAUCAGAUGACAAAAAUUCCCUUCUUCAAUGAUGUUGGUGCAGUCACACUUCAGUAUUUUGAUACCUUAUUCCAAAGAGAUAAUCUUCAGAAAUCCCAGUUCUUCAAAGGAUUGCCGAAGGUUCUGCCAAAGCUGCCCAAGCGUGUCAUCGUGCAGAGAAUUUUGCCUUGUUUGACUUCAGAAUUUGUAAACCCUGAUAUGGUACCUUUUGUUUUGCCCAAUGUUUUACUGAUUGCUGAGGAGUGUACCAAAGAAGAAUAUGUCAGAUUAAUUCUGCCUGAACUUGGUCCUGUGUUUAAACAGCAGGAGCCUGUACAGGCUAGCAACAUGAUUUUGUUAAUUUUUCUACAAAAAAUGGAUUUGCUCCUAACCAAAACCCCUCCUGACGAGAUAAAGAACAGUGUGCUGCCCAUGGUCUACAGGGCUCUGGAGGCACCUUCCAUUCAGAUCCAGGAGCUCUGUCUGAACAUCAUCCCAACUUUUGCAAAUCUCAUAGACUACCCUUCCAUGAAAAAUGCUUUGAUUCCAAGAAUUAAAAAUGCUUGUUUGCAAACAUCUUCCCUUGCUGUUCGUGUGAAUUCAUUAGUCUGUUUAGGCAAGAUUUUGGAGUACUUGGAUAAGUGGUUUGUACUUGAUGAUAUCCUACCCUUCUUACAACAGAUUCCCUCCAAGGAGCCUGCGGUCCUCAUGGGAAUUCUAGGUAUCUAUAAGUGUACUUUCACUCAUAAGAAACUGGGAAUCACCAAAGAGCAGCUGGCUGGAAAAGUACUGCCUCAUCUCAUUCCCCUGAGUAUUGAAAACAAUCUUAACCUCAAUCAGUUCAGCUCUUUCAUUGCCGUCAUAAAGGAGAUGCUGAGCAGGCUGGAGUCUGAGCACAGGACUAAGCUGGAGCAGCUUCACAUGAUGGAGGAGCAGCAGAGGUCUUUGGAGAUUGGAAAUCAAAUGAAUGCUUCCGAGGAGACAGGUGCUACACAUGCCGGAAGUCAGCAGAUUGACAAGGUCUUCAACAACAUUGGAACAGACCUUCUAACUGGGGGUGAAUCCGAAAAUAAAGAAGAUGGGCUGCAGAAUAAGCAGAAAAGGGCAUCGUUUACACUUGAAGAAAAACAGAAAUUAGCAAAGGAACAGGAGCAGGCACAGAAGCUGAAAAGCCAGCAGCCUUUGAAGCCCCAAGUCCACACUCCCAUCGCGCCCAGCAAACAGACCAAGGACCUGACAGAUACGUUGAUGGAUAACAUCACCUCCUUGACCAGCCUUUCCGUUAGCACUUCUAAGCUUUCCACUUCAAGUACCUUCACGUCUGUUCCUUCCACGGGCCUCAACAUGAUGUUUUCUACACCAAUUGAUAAUUCAAAGAGAAAUUUGACAAAUGGCCUGAAUGCCAACAUGGGCUUUCAGACUUCAGGAUUCAGCAUGCCGGUCAACCCGAACCAGAACUUCUUCAGUGGUUCGAGCACCGCUGGAGUGACCACGAUGACUCUGGGAGCGGCUCCCGCUCUGUCAAGCUACAACCCUUUGAGUGUUCCUCCCACUGCUGUGAAGGCUCAGCAGAGACCGGCCGAUAUGUCGGCCCUUAAUAACCUCUUUGGCCCUCAGAAACCCAAAGUUAGCAUGAACCAGCUAUCCCAGCAGAAACCAAAUCAGUGGCUGAAUCAGUUUGUCCCUCCUCAGGGUUCCUCAGGUAUGGGCAGCGCAGCCAUGGGCGUACAGGCGAAUGUGAUGGGACAGGCUGCCUUUGGUAUGCAGGGCAACCCUUUCUUUAACCCGCAGAACUUCGCACAGCCAUCAGCUACCAUGACCAGUAGCAGUUCAGCUAGCAACGAUCUGAAAGAUCUUUUCGGGUGAGGUGCCCCGUGCUGCUCCUCGGAGGUCGCUGCAGUUCAGUCACGGGUGAGCAGACUUAGAUCGGCGUGCAGCUGGCUUGAAGAAACUGCUCCUGGGGGCAGUGGCUUGUUUCUGUGAUGGAGAACACCUGCUUCCAUGCCAGCCAGCGCAGGAGUUGUGUGGAUCCUAACCGGUUCAAUUUUUUUAAAGCGUUGAGGAUUUUCUCCUCUACAAAACCCCCUCUUCAGGUUUUUAAAGAUCCAGUCCUUACCGGUCUCACAAUGCGAAAGGACAACUGAGUUACCUUGAGUAACAGUUUUUAAAUCAGAUGUUUAUUUUGGCUUGUAAAUCUUCCUGUUAUUAAAGCCUUGUGUUGAUGGUAGCUGGGCGCUCACCUCUUCUCUCACCUUUGCAUUCUCUGGCCCUCACCAGUGGGAAGAGUCUGGGUUCUGUGUCGGUUUGUUUGCCCUGUGGGACAGGGGAUGGUAACAUGAAGGGGAAGCAUCGGGUCCUUUGCUCCUUCCAGUCUUAGUUUUCAAAGGAACGUACGCUUCGUGCAAAAGACAGUAAAAACACUGCAAAUCUUAAUUUACGUUAAUUUCACUGGUUUAAAGCAUUAUUAACCAUCUUAAAUGCAAACUAAUCAUUGUGAAUUAUAUUUUAGCAUGAUCUGCCUCAAAUAGCAAUGUAUUUCUGCCUUUACUUGAAUAUCUUUAGGAUCACCUUUUUCCUGUUUGUACCACAGGAGAGCCAUUGUACAGAAACCAGACAGAGCCCCUGGACCCGGCUUCCCCGCCACUGCCUUCGUACUUGAGUUUGAAUUCAAACUUCUGAAGUUGCAACACAUAUGAAUUACAUUUUCAAAAGGAGAUUUGUAAAAAAAAAAAUAAUAAUUAAACUAUAUUUAAUGAGUAAACUUGAGAUUUCUGCCAUAUUGUUUCAACUGUAAUAACCCGUAAAAAUGAGUGAGCCAUUAGACACCAACAGACUGAAUGUUAGGUUGCCAUGAAGUCCAGCCCCCGUUAGGUACCUACUACUGAAACUCAGUUCUUUUCUAGGAGUUCCAGAAUCUUUGUUGGGACGUUUGUCUGUAAAGCUGUCACUGUUAGGAGGGAAGUAGUUCCAGUAAGACUGUCUCACUCUCCAGAAGGCUUCCCUGGUGUUUGUCUUUAAUCUGCUGAUUCUACCACAGAGCCUUAUGCUACAAACAUCAUUUGUAUUUUUAAAACUCAUAUCCCACUGUUAUGUGAUAACUAAAGAACUCUUAAAAAACUGUGUAUGUGAUAUAGUUGCUGCCAUACAGUUUGUGGUUUUUAAUUAUCUGGAACCAGCAAUCAUUUAAAAUAAAUCAUAUAAAGUUUAGUGUGCUGAUACUAAGUUGAUUAAAUGACUGAAUGUUCAUUGAAAAAAAAUAUAUAUACAUACAUACACAUAUAUAAACAUACACACACAUCGCCCCAGACACGUAUACAUGUUGCGUGUACUAUACAGCACUUAUUACAAGGUACCAUUUCAUGCCAUUACCAGUGCUGAUAGCAUCCAGUUAAAAGCACACUUAAAAAAAAAAUGCAAGUCAGUGUUCACACCUGGUACUUGUGUAGCAUGACAUCAAAAGAAUUUCAUUCAAGAAAUGAAAAGGCAUUUUUGUCAAGUACAUUUACAACUUCACCAGACUUGUUUAUAAACACAGUAGUAAUAUUUCUUUUGGGAAAUGUUUUAUAUGGAAUAAAAUUGUUGAAGAACAUUUCUUUGUAACAGUUCAGUAGCUGUUUAUUGAGAAGUUCUUUUUAAUUUUUAUGUGUGGGGGUGGUUUGCCUGCAUGGGUGUAGACACACCAUGUGCGUGCGAU